CUAUUUAUAGCCUGCUACAACCAACUUCCUAACCGACUAGGAUCUAUCUCUAAUUUUAAACGAAAACGAAUAUUUACAAGUACAACUCGUAUCGGAGUUGGUUAUUGCACUCCCACGGGCCAAUCCCCCUUCGUCUUCUCUUUCUUAUCCACUUUAAGCCCAUAUUGGCCCAACUGCUCCAACCUUCCAAUUGGUCGAUCCCUACCAACUCUAUCCACCAGAACACUGUAGCGCUAAA
rnacentral:lncRNA from 1 species